rnacentral:Y_RNA from 1 species
GGCUGGUCUGAAGGGAGCAAGUUAUUUCAAUUGAUUGUUCAGUCAGUUACAGAUUAAACUCCUUGUUCUACUCUUUCCCCCCUUUUCACUACUGCACUUGACUAGUCAAAA